GACGAACGCUGGCGGCGUGCCUAAUACAUGCAAGUAGAACGCUGAAGGAGGAGCUUGCUUCUCCGGAUGAGUUGCGAACGGGUGAGUAACGCGUAGGUAACCUGCCUGGUAGCGGGGGAUAACUAUUGGAAACGAUAGCUAAUACCGCAUAACAGUAGAUAUUGCAUGAUAUCUGCUUGAAAGGUGCAAUUGCAUCUCUACCAGAUGGACCUGCGUUGUAUUAGCUAGUUGGUGAGGUAACGGCUCACCAAGGCGACGAUACAUAGCCGACCUGAGAGGGUGAUCGGCCACACUGGGACUGAGACACGGCCCAGACUCCUACGGGAGGCAGCAGUAGGGAAUCUUCGGCAAUGGGGGCAACCCUGACCGAGCAACGCCGCGUGAGUGAAGAAGGUUUUCGGAUCGUAAAGCUCUGUUGUAAGUCAAGAACGGGUGUGAGAGUGGAAAGUUCACACUGUGACGGUAGCUUACCAGAAAGGGACGGCUAACUACGUGCCAGCAGCCGCGGUAAUACGUAGGUCCCGAGCGUUGUCCGGAUUUAUUGGGCGUAAAGCGAGCGCAGGCGGUUUGAUAAGUCUGAAGUUAAAGGCUGUGGCUCAACCAUAGUUCGCUUUGGAAACUGUCAAACUUGAGUGCAGAAGGGGAGAGUGGAAUUC
rnacentral:rRNA from 1 species